UGGACUGUCUGUCUAUACUGUCUGCUUCAGGCUGAUGGCCAUUUUGUCCCACCCCCCCGCCCCUAAAACCAUAUACACCGCUUUUGAAAAUGCUUUACAAUCAUUCUUGUGGCGAGAGGAGAUGUGUUUGUACACGUGUGUGUGUGUGUGUGUGUGUGUGUGUGUGU